rnacentral:rRNA from 1 species
GACGAACGCUGGCGGCGUGCUUAACACAUGCAAGUCGAACGGGCCUUGUCCCCUUUUUUUUGGGGGUGGGGUUAGUGGCGAACGGGUGAGUAACACGUGAGUAACCUGCCCCUCACUUCUGGAUAACCGCUUGAAAGGGUGGCUAAUACGGGGUGUUCUGGCCUGCUUGCAUGGGUGGGUUUGGAAAGAUUCGACCGGUUUUGGUUGUUUUGGUGGGGGAUGGGCUCGCGGCCUAUCAGCUUGUUGGUGGGGUGAUGGCCUGCCAAGGCUUUGACGGGUAGCCGGCCUGAGAGGGUGGGCGGUCACACUGGGACUGAGACACGGCCCAGACUCCUACGGGAGGCAGCAGUGGGGAAUAUUGCACAAUGGGCGCAAGCCUGAUGCAGCGACGCCGCGUGAGGGAUGGAGGCCUUCGGGUUGUGAACCUCUUUCGCCAGUGAAGAAGGUCCUGCUCUUUGUGGUGGGGUUGACGGUAGCUGGGUUAAUGAAGCGCCGGCUAACUACGUG